GCGGAGCUUAGAGAAAAUGGCGGCGCCCACAGAAAUGGGUGAAAAAUUUGAAUAAUUAAUUAAAAAAUCGGAAAAAUUCAGAAAAAAUUAGAAAAAAUCAGAAAAAAUCAAAAAAAAUUAGAAAGAAUUAGAAAAAAUUAGAGAAAAUCAGAAAAAAAUCAGGAAUAAAUCUGGGAUGGCCUAACUUCAGUUGAUGGUCCCUGUCGUUCACCCUGAUGUCUGUGGUUCCACGCGCGAAUGACGUUUGCAGCGUACUCUACUCUCCUCCUUGAAUCUCGAAAUAUUCUCCAAAAGGUCGUACAGAAAGCCACAAGUUCGAAUCUGGCUUGCUUGGAGCCCCACAGGUUACCUGCAUCUCGGAGCCCUUAGUACAGCUCUGUGCAACUAUUCAUUGGCUCAGGCAAACCAAGGAAUUCUUAUUCUACCCUUAGAAGACGUGGAUCAAACAGGACUCGUACCAAAUGCUGCCGGUGAACUCCAAGAGCCUUUAUUCUGGGCUCGCAUCAUUCCAGACAAACUAACGAUGUACUCGUGAUUAUAUUUAUUUAAAUACAUCGGGUAUUAUUGCGAACAAUCCAAUUAAUAAUUUUAUGUCAAGCAAAAUGAAAGCAUUGCUCAUAACAUUGUAAAGCAAUAGUCAUAGGAAUUAAUUUAUACAUAUUUGGAGAUGAACCUACCCAUAAUGUACGUAUAUUAUGAUGUCCCAAUAUAUGAUUUCUUCUAAUUUAUUUAUCAAUAAACAUAUACUAUCAAAA
rnacentral:misc_RNA from 1 species